rnacentral:lncRNA from 15 species
AAGCAACUACUUCACACAGAAACGACCAGAGAUAAUGUGAUGGGGUGGGGGGGGGAUAAACACAAAUGCACAUUUUGAAAAAUUGAAAAAAAAAAGUGUAAACAAGAACAGAAUGUCGACGAUAAAAGGAAAAAAGUGACUUGUCAGAUCUGUGUUACGAGUCUAAGAGCAUGAGCCCGAGGGUGAAUUACUUUGCCCCCUUGAGUUAUACCUUUAGUACAAGAUGUCCAAGCUUGGUUUCCUAAACUUCAAAAUGCAUCAUUGUCAUUUCUUUUGCCAACCAAGCACAAACUAUUUUUUUUAUGUGACUGUUUUAAGAUAUAAAAAAAGACAAAAAAAAACAAAACACCACCACAAGUCAUGGCCUCUUUCAGUAUUUAAACAUAACUGGACACCGCCAAUUUUUCAAGAAAUUGGUAUAAAUAAGUGGGAUUUCCUGGUCUUUUUUCUAAUUGUAUAAUUUAAUUUAGUACAGAGUUUGUAAAAUAUCAGAGUAUCUAUUGUUUCUACGACAUGGUAUUGCAUUUAUAUCUUUUUACUACUCCAGUGAUCUGUGAUGGCUGCAGCAACUUUGUGUUUUCUUUUUGUAUUAUGUCUAAUCUUCCGUCCUCCACACUCCAUCCUCCCAUUUCUCUCUUUGUCAGCACACACUGCCAUAUUGUUAAGCAGGCAUGGUCAGGCAUUUGCAAAUGUGCAGACCCUAUCAGUCUAUGUUUUUUUUAACCAUCUAAUACCAAAAACUGUCAUGUGUCAUUUGUAUCCUCCAACACAAAUUGACCUUUGUGUGACUGUAAAAAUACCACUCCUAUGCUCCUCACCUAGUGUCAGCAUACAUUAUAUAUAUUAUAGGCUACACUGCACACAUGCACUCACUGUGUUUGUUGUGCACAUGCAUGUAUGAAUUUAUAGACUCUGUGAAUGUAGUGUGCUGGUCUUCCACAUUUUAUCUUGGUAAUUUAUGACUUUCUGUCUUUCUGUCCCUCUUCUCUAUCCCUUCCCAUCUGGCAAUGUUUUAGUCUAACCCAACACACAGACCAGCUGUGCCCUGUAGAGCUGUUAUUGACACUGUGUGCGUGCAUAUGUGUCUGUGUGUUGCACACAUCAAGUACCAGCAUACAUCCAGUGCAUUGGGCACAAUCUACCAGGCCAUCUGGCUGACUGCUUGUGGAGGCAUUCAUUGGGCAAGUGACACUGUGUAUGUGUGGGUAAUAGACAGGAAAUGACAAUAAAAAACGACAACUGUUUACCAAAUAAAGU